rnacentral:rRNA from 1 species
CCCUUAGAUGUUCUGGGCCGCACGCGCGCUACACUGAUGCAUUCAACGAGUUUCUUCCUGGUCCGAGAGGAAUGGGUAACCUUUUGAAAGUGCAUCGUGAUAGGGAUAGACUAUUGCAAUUAUUGGUCUUCAACGAGGAAUUCCUAGUAGACGUAGUUCAUCAGACUGCAUUGAUUACGUCCCUGCCCUUUGUACACACCGCCCGUCGCACCUACCGAUUGAAUGGUCCGGUGAAGCCUCCGGAUUGGCGCGCACCUCGGUGCCGCCGAGAAGUUGGCUAAACCUUACCAUUUAGAGGAAGGUGAAGUCGUAACA